rnacentral:rRNA from 1 species
UAAGCCAUGCAUGUCUAAGUAUAAGCAAUUAUACAGCGAAACUGCGAAUGGCUCAUUAUAUAAGUUAUCGUUUAUUUGAUAGUACCUUACUACUUGGAUAACCGUGGUAAUUCUAGAGCUAAUACAUGCUAAAAAUCCCGACUUCGGAAGGGAUGUAUUUAUUAGAUUAAAAACCAAUGCCCUCUGGGCUCCUUGGUGAUUCAUGAUAACUCUUCGAAUCGCACGGCCUUGCGCCGGCGAUGGUUCAUUCAAAUUUCUUCCCUAUCAACUUUCGAUGUUUGGGUAUUGGCCAAACAUGGUUGCAACGGGUAACGGAGGGUUAGGGCUCGACCCCGGAGAAGGAGCCUGAGAAACGGCUACUACAUCCAAGGAAGGCAGCAGGCGCGCAAAUUACCCAAUCCCGAUUCGGGGAGGUAGUGACAAUAAAUACUGAUACAGGGCUCUUUUGGGUCUUGUAAUUGGAAUGAGUACAAUUUAAAUCCCUUAACGAGGAACAAUUGGAGGGCAAGUCUGGUGCCAGCAGCCGCGGUAAUUCCAGCUCCAAUAGCGUAUAUUAAAGUUGUUGUGGUUAAAAAGCUCGUAGUUGAACCUUGGGCCUGGCUGGCCGGUCCGCCUCACCGCGUGCACUGGUCCGGCCGGGCCUUUCCCUCUGUGGAACCCCAUGCCCUUCACUGGGCGUGGCGGGGAAACAGGACGUUUACUUUGAAAAAAUUAGAGUGCUCCAGGCAGGCCUAUGCUCGAAUACAUUAGCAUGGAAUAAUGAAAUAGGACGCGUGGUUCUAUUUUGUUGGUUUCUAGGACCGCCGUAAUGAUUAAUAGGGACAGUCGGGGGCAUCAGUAUUCAAUUGUCAGAGGUGAAAUUCUUGGAUUUAUUGAAGACUAACUACUGCGAAAGCAUUUGCCAAGGAUGUUUUCAUUAAUCAGGAACGAAAGUUAGGGGAUCGAAGACGAUCAGAUACCGUCGUAGUCUUAACCAUAAACUAUGCCGACUAGGGAUCGGACGAUGUUAUUUUUUGACGCGUUCGGCACCUUACGAGAAAUCAAAGUGCUU